rnacentral:lncRNA from 1 species
GAAGUGAAGUUCAACUUCAUUGGGUUCUGCUUUCACCAACCUAUCCAUGGUGGUGAUGAUUAUACACAAGGAGAAGGUGAGUCUGGUCUUGAUAUAAUCUUUAUUAGUCUCUUUUGAUUUUGUGUUUAUCAGAAAAAUUGACGGAGAAAGAAAUUAGUUGCUUGCUGGAAUGAAGCUGUUUUUUUUGUUUGCUCUAGUUAUUUUGAUUUAUAAUAUCUUCAUUAUUAUUGUUGUUAUUGCUGUUAUUGAUUAUUGGUGUUUAGAAAUUAAUUAUUGGUAAUCUGUGAUUAAUUAUAUUUAUAUAGCAUGCUCGUUAGUUGGGGUGCGACAGUGACAGGGAAAGGAAGGUGGGUGGGAUGGAGAAGGAUAUGAAUUAGUAGAGAAGACUCUGAAAAAUGACAAUAACAUGUUUUUCUUUUCAUGGUAUUGCUAUUUAAUUGUACAAGAAAUAGACAAGGUAAAGAAGGUGUGAAUUUGAACCAAUUCAACUAGUUAGACCAGCCAUUUUUUUGGAACCAGUUUAUUGAUACAAUUUCAACACAUUCAUGUUUUGACAGGAUAGAGGUGUAAGUUUGAACCAGUCCAUCCAUCCCAUGUAUGUAUGUGAAUCCGGAUGUUCUACAGUAAAGACUUCAGAGGCCGUAAUAUUAAGAUCAAACGGUCGUAAUUGGACUGUCUCCGAAGUCUUGACUGCAUGCAAUCAAGAUUUGUAUGUGUGUGUAUAUUUUGAUUUUGACAGAAAUAUUUUUAUUAUUAUUUUUAUUCAUUUUGGCAAAUCGUUGGGUACAUGUGAAGAGGGAAUUUACAAACCUCCUGGCUAGUUGGAUUGUCAUAUUCCAAUUUGACUUUUUCUUUUACCCUCUGAAAGUGAAAACCGGGAAUCUUGUCCAAUAGACUAACAAUAUUCUGUUCCACACUGGUUUUGGCUGUAUGUGAAGACCAAUUACCUAUUUGAUUUGAGGUUUAAUAAUAGAAAAUGCAGUGGUUGCAACUUCAGAGAUCAUUUUUUUAGUUUUUUUUAAUAUGACGAGGUCAAACUCAGGAGCCAUGAGUCAAUUAUUUAUA